GGGGCUCCUGGCUGUGGGUGUGGUACCGAGGCUUCAGCGGGUGCCGCCCGCCUAGAGGGAGUGGAGCGGUGAGCACGUCAGGGGUGGGGGGCGCAGGUCAAGCUUUCACCAGUUUUUAAUUCUUUGAUGGGGUAAAUUUGAGCAAUUUUCUCGACUUGUCGACAUUCGUUAUUAACUGAGCAGGAAUCAGGAGAGGAACCCGGUCCUCUCCACACAGCCCAGCAGGUACGCCGCCCAUGUGCCUGUGGAGAAGAGAGGUUCCUGUGGGGCAGACAGAGAGCCUACGACUAGAUUUGCAUCUUUACGUCCUGCGCGGAGGCUGCUACACACAUGCAGAAGUCAUGCUGGUGGCCUGGACAGUGAAGGGAGAGAAGUGGAUUUGGGAGACAUUUAGGAGGAACAGUAAGAGGACCUUGUGCAUGAAUAAUUUGUUUCCACACUACAGAGUGGGUAAUAAGCAGAUUAGUAAAAACAAUUCUGCUUCACUUCAAUAACAGCCUCCUCCAACUCAUUUUUUCUCAACAAACUUAUUUUUCCAGCAGAAGAAUCCCAGACUUCUUAGAGAACCCAGUGACUUUUUGCACCUUAAAUCUGUGAAAUCCUCAUGUUUUCUUCUGCCGUAUCCAUAGUUCAAACAAAGAUGAGGCAAAGCUAGAUGCAUUCCUGAAGGAACCCAAGAAAUUCCUCUCUUUAUUUCUCUGGAAUGAAAUGAAUUCUCUAGACCACCAGUUCUAACCUUCAAAAACCAAACCUGUUUGUGAGAUCUCCUUCAAAUACUACUGUAGACCCCAGUGUUUAUUCAUUAAAUUUUUAAAAUAUUUGUUUUAUUUGGAAUCCAUGUAUUUGUAAUUUUAGUGUUUGUAUUAAUAUAAGGGAGAAAUGUUUAAAUCUGUCUAUGCCAUAUGUGCCUCUGGCUUAUUGCCCAAUUAAUUGUAGACUCAGGCUAAA
ensembl:lncRNA RPL23AP7 ribosomal protein L23a pseudogene 7